rnacentral:rRNA from 1 species
AGUGAACGCUGGCGGUAGGCCUAACACAUGCAAGUCGAACGGCAGCACAGUAAGAGCUCGCCCCUACGGGUGGCGAGUGGCGGACGGGUGAGGGAUACAUCGGAAUCUACUUUUUCGGGGGGGAUAACGUAGGGAAACUUACGCUAAUACCGCAUACGACCUACGGGUGAAAGCAGGGGAUCUUCGGACCUUGCGCGAUUGAAUGAGCCGAUGGCGGAUUAGCUAGUUGGCGGGGUAAAGGCCCACCAAGGCGACGAACCGUAGCUGGUCUGAGGGGAUGAUCAGCCACACUUGAACUGAGACACGGUCCAGACUCCUACGGGAGGCAGCAGUGGGGAAUAUUGGACCAUGGGCGCAAGCCUGAUCCAGCCAUACCGCGUGGGUGAAGAAGGCCUUCGGGUUGUAAAGCCCUUUUGUUGGGAAAGAAAAGCAGCAGGUUAAUACCCCGCUGUUCUGACGGUACCCAAAGAAUAAGCACCGGCUAACUUCGUG